rnacentral:piRNA from 1 species
CCUACAGUGAUGCCUAGGAUGGUAUUGAC